CGCCGGACACCUGGUAUGGUGGUACUGAGGUUUGGAUCCCGUUUUCAGAUUGAACGCUGGCGGAUGCUUUGCUACGCGAAGUCAGGAACCAGCGUUGCUCUGACUUUCGGCUCCGGUGGUAGCGAGCAAAGCGAAGCGGCGUGAGAAUGCAUCGUGUGGAACGUCAAAGAGUGUAUUAACUACGCGAAAGGUAGCUAAUACCGCAUACGGCCCUUCGGGGGAAAGCGGGGGACCUUCGGCCUCGCACUAUUAGAGCGGCCGAUAUCGGAUUAGCUAGUUGGUGGGGUAACGGCUCACCGGCGACGAUCCGUAGCUGGUUUGAGAGGACGACCGUAGCCACACUGGGACUGAGACACGGCCCAGACUCUACGGGAGGCAGCAGGGAAUUUUGGACAAUGGGAAACCCUGAUCCAGCCAUCCCAUGUGUGCGAUGAAGGCCUUCGGGUUGUAAAGCACCUUGGUAGAAAGAAACGGCACGGGAUAAUACCCCCGUGCAACUGACGGUACCUGCAGAAUAAGCACCGCUAACUACGCGCCAGCAGCCGCGGUAAUACGUAGGGUGCAAGCGUUAAUCGGAAUUACUGGGCGUAAAGUGCGCGCAGGCGGUUCGGAAAGAAAGAUGUGGAAAUCCCAGAGCUUAACUUUGGAACUGCAUUUUUAACUACCGAGCUAGAGUGUGUCAGAGGAGGGAAUUCCGCGUGUAUAUAGCAGUCGCGGAUAUGCGAUAACAAUCCAGCCAAAGAAUACAGCCCUUGGAUAAUGAAUGACGUCUAUGCAUCGAAAGCGUGGGAGCAACAGGAUUAGAUACCCUGGUAGUCCACGCCUCAAACGAUGCUCAACGAGCUGUUGGGGCUCUCGGGCCUUGUGAGCGUUAAAUAACGUUGUAGUUGACCGCCUGGGGAGUACGGUCGCAAGAUUAAACUCAAAGGGAAUUGACGGGGACCGCGACGGGGCGGUGGAUGAUGGGAUUAAUCUGAUGCAACGCGAAAACUCACUACCCUUUGACAUGUCUGGAACUUCGAAGAGAUUUGGGAGUGUCGCGGCGAGAACUCGUGGAAUCAGCAGGAAGCGGGAGCAGCUGCCGUCAGCCUGCGUCGUGAGAUGUUGAAGUUAAGUCCCCAAAUCGAGCAACCCUUUGUCAUUAGCUGAUGCCAAAGGGCACCUUGUCGAGACUGCCGGUGACAAACCGGGAGGAAGGUGGGGAUGACGUCAAGUCCUCAUGGCCCUAUGGGUAGGGCUUCACACGUCAUACAAUGGUCGGGACAGAGGGUCGCCAACCCGCGAGGGAGCCAAUCCCAGAAACCUGAUCAGAGUCCGGAUCGCAGUCUGCAACCGGACUGCGUGAAGUCGGGGUUCGCCGGUAAUCGCAGUGAUCAAGAUGAAACAGGUGAAUACGUUCCCGGGUCUUGUACACACCGCCCGUCACACCAUGGGAGUGGGUUUUACCAGAAGUAGUUAGCCUAACCGUAAGGAGGGCGAUUACCACGGUAGGAUUCAUGACUGGGGCGAAGUCGUAACAGGUAG
rnacentral:rRNA from 1 species